rnacentral:sRNA from 1 species
GGAGGUUCGACUCGAGCGAAGCGAGAGAACGUUGCGUCAGCAACGGCCCGCAGGGCGAGCCACAAAGUGGCGAGUCAUCCUCUAUCACCGACCA